rnacentral:rRNA from 3 species
GACCCGCACAAGCGGUGGAGCAUGUGGUUUAAUUCGAAGCAACGCGAAGAACCUUACCAAAUCUUGACAUCCUUUGACAACUCUAGAGAUAGAGCUUUCCCCUUCGGGGGACAAAGUGACAGGUGGUGCAUGGUUGUCGUCAGCUCGUGUCGUGAGAUGUUGGGUUAAGUCCCGCAACGAGCGCAACCCUUAAGCUUAGUUGCCAUCAUUAAGUUGGGCACUCUAAGUUGACUGCCGGUGACAAACCGGAGGAAGGUGGGGAUGACGUCAAAUCAUCAUGCCCCUUAUGAUUUGGGCUACACACGUGCUACAAUGGACAAUACAAAGGGCAGCGAAACCGUGAGGUCAAGCAAAUCCCAUAAAGUUGUUCUCAGUUCGGAUUGUAGUCUGCAACUCGACUACAUGAAGCUGGAAUCGCUAGUAAUCGUAGAUCAGCAUGCUACGGUGAAUACGUUCCCGGGUCUUGUACACACCGCCCGUCACACCACGAGAGUUUGUAACACCCGAAGCCGGUGGAGUAACCUUUUAGGAGCUAGCCGUCGAAGGUGGGACAAAUGAUUGGGGUGAAGUCGUAACAAGGUAGCCGUAUCGGAAGGUGCGGCUGGAUCACCUCCUUUCUAAGGA